rnacentral:rRNA from 1 species
GUAUAGCAACAGCUAAUUGCACCAAGACAUAUUUGAUGCAAUAUCGACUUAGUCGAAUAAAGUUCUAGGUAGUAUUAUGAUAAUGACAUUUUCUGCCUAUUAGUCUUGACCAAAUUACGUGCCAGCAGUCGCGGUAAUACGUAGAAGACAAGUGUUAUUCAUCUUUAAUAGGUUUAAAGGGUACCUAGACGGUAAAUCAAGCCUUAAACGGGACUAAUUUACUAGAGUUACUUGCGAGGGGGCACUAAAGUACUAAUGGUGUAGAGAUGAAAUUCUUAAAUACCUUUUUCUGAAAGAAAAACAAUGGCACAGGUAUAGGCGAAAGCAUCCCCUUAUGUGAUAACUGACGUUGAGGGACGAAGGCUUUGAGUAGCGAACAGGAUUAGAUACCCUGAUAGUUGAAGCAGUAAAUGAUGAAUGUCAUAGAUUAGACCUUAGUUUAUUCUAUAAAUGAAAGUGUAAGCAUUCCACCUCAAGAGUAAUUUGGCAACAUUGGAACUGAAAUCAUUAGACCGUUUCUGAAACCAGUAGUGAAGUAUGUUGUUUAAUUUGAUAAUCCGCAAAAAACCUUACCACAAUUUGAAUAUUUAUAUUUUUUUAUUUCUAAACAUUUAUAAUUUUGAUUAUAAAUGAAAAAUAAAAAGAUAUUUUUACAAGCGUUGCACGGCUGUCUUCAGUUAAUGUCGUGAGAUUUUGGUUAGUUCCAUUAAAUUAACGUAAACCCUUGCUAUAUUUUUACAUAUAGUAGUUCUCCAUCAUAUUGGAUAAGAUAACAGGGACUAAGACAAGUCAUCAUGGCCUGAAUAUUGUGGGCUAUA